rnacentral:rRNA from 1 species
CCUACGGGUGGCAGCAGUGAGGAAUAUUGGUCAAUGGCCGAGAGGCUGAACCAGCCAAGUCGCGUGAGGGAAGACGGCCCUACGGGUUGUAAACCUCUUUUGUCGGGGAGCAAAACGAGUCACGUGUGACGCAUUGAGAGUACCCGAAGAAAAAGCAUCGGCUAACUCCGUGCCAGCAGCCGCGGUAAUACGGAGGAUGCGAGCGUUAUCCGGAUUUAUUGGGUUUAAAGGGUGCGCAGGCGGAGGUGCAAGUCAGCGGUAAAAUUGCGGGGCUCAACCCCGUACUGCCGUGGAAACUGCAUGCCUUGAGUGCGCGAGAAGUAUGCGGAAUGCGUGGUGUAGCGGUGAAAUGCAUAGAUAUCACGAAGAACUCCGAUUGCGAAGGCAGCAUACGGGCGCGCAACUGACGCUCAUGCACGAAAGCGUGGGUAUCGAACAGGAUUAGAUACCCUUGUAGUC